rnacentral:rRNA from 1 species
CCCUUAGAUGUUCUGGGCCGCACGCGCACUACACUGAUGCAUUCAACGAGUCUAAAACCUGGUCUGAUAGGGCUGGGUAAUCUUUUGAAUGUGCAUCGUGAUUGGGAUAGAUGAUUGCAAUUCUUCAUCUUCAACGAGGAAUGCCUAGUAAACGCAAGUCAUCAGCUUGCAUUGAUUACGUCCCUGCCCUUUGUACACACCGCCCGUCGCUCCUACCGAUUGAAUGUUCCGAUGAAUACCAUGGACUGAGAGUAUGAAUGGGUUCGCCUAUCUCUGCUUCUCGGGAAGUGGAGUAAAUCUUAACAUUUAGAGGAAGGAGAAGUCGUAACA